UGCUGUUAUUGCAAAAUGGGUCGUCUACUCUUCUUCCUCCAUUGUUAGCCAAAAACACCCAAAUCGCCAUUACCUUUUUCCUUCGAGAAAUCACCGACAAUAUGCACCGUCUUUCGUCAUUCGAACUUCAUUUUUCUCUCUGUAACUUUAAGGUUUUACGACGUCGUGGUUUCCAAAGAAGGGUUUUGUUCUGCGCCGACUUAUGUUUCCGAUGGAGAAAAUUCGGCAGCUUUGUACUGGAUAGUUACUAAUCCUACUCUAGCACCUGUUCAUCUUGAAGGAAGAAUACAUUGGGAGCAUAUCUGAUUAUUCCAGGAAUGGGCUCACAUUUCGUCAUGUACACUGCCAAGAUCCAAGAUAAUUCAAGAUCUGCUCUCCCUCCUGGUGAUGUUGAAAGGUAACAACGCCUAACCUGAUGUAUUAUAUACUUCUCCAUCGACGCUUCUGAGUUGAAAUUUCAUAACACCAGCUGAUGGUGUAGAUAGCUUGUAUUUGUGGUUGAUGGAGGUGUUUCUUUGACAAAUGGAUCAGACACCAGGCACAACUUAAUGGUGGAUUCAUAUGCUUAUUUGCCUCCAAACUUUCAACAUUCGAUUGACAGUGCCGUGUCGGCUACACUUGUUGUUUUUGAACGAAGGUUUAUCCUACAUUCUUCUUUUGUUUUACAACAAUACUGCUUUUGUUUUGUGUGAUUAUUCGUUUUCGUGUGUUAUCAUUUGAUAAUGAGUUUUGCAUUGAAAAUACAUUGUUUGUUUUGAGGAGGUGAGAUCUCUGUAUUGAUUAGUACUGAAAUUUUUUGGAAGUUUUCAUAAUUUUUUGUUUUUGUGAAUUUUCCAUACAUGAAUCAUACUAAGUUUAUUUGAUUAAGGAACUAGUUGGAAGUGUUGUGAGCACCUUAUACAUGAUCUUAGUGCACAUAUUUGAAGUUAGGCAAUAUCGAAGAUGUAACUAUUUAAGUUUUGUGUUACAAAUUUUUGUUUGAGAUAAUACUUAAAAGGAUUCAGGUUUUGCGAUUUGGAUAAAGAAUGGAAUUAAUCUUUAAUUGUGGUUUUUGUCAUAGGCAAACGCUAAGGGCUAAUAUAUUUGAAGUUAGUCUGUAUCGGGCUGUAAUUAUUGAAGUUUUGUGCGUAGUAUUAGUGUUAGAAAUUUAUGUUUGAGAUAAUAUUUGUAAGAAAGUCUAGAGAUUUGGAUGAAGAAUGUAAUUAAUGUUUAAUUGUGAUUAUUGUUAUAAGCAAAUGUUAUGGGUUAUAUAUGAUCUUAGUGGAUAUAUUUAAGUUAGUCCAUAUUAAAGCUAUAACUAUUAAAGUUUUGUGCGUAGUACUUAUGUUAGAAAUUUAUGUUUACAAUAAUAAUUUUAAGGAUUCAAGUCUAGAGAUGUUGAUGAAGAAUGCUAUCAAUGUUUAAUUAUGGUUAUUGUUAGGAGUAAAAACUAAAGGUUAUACUAUUUGAAGUCCCAAAGAUAUUGUUAGAUUAUUCUGAGGAGCAAUUUGAUUCAUAUAUUUAAACUUAGUCAAUAUCAGAGCUGUAAUUAUUGAAGUUUUGUGCGUAGUAUUAAUGUUAGAAAUUUACUUUUGAGAAAAUAUUUAAAAGGAUCAAGUCUAGAGAUUUAGAUAAAGAAUGUAAAUGAUGUUUAAUUGUGGUUAUUGUUAUAAGCAAAAGCUAUGGGUUAAUUAUGAUGUUAGUGGAUUUUUUUAAGUUGGUCAAUAUUAAAGCUGUAUCUAUUGAAGUUUUGUCCGUAGUAUUUAUGUUAGAAAUUUAAUUUUGAGAAAAUAUUUUUAAGGAUUCACGUCUAGAGAUAUUGAUGAAAAAUGCUAUUAAUAUUUAAUUAUGGUUAUUGUUAGAAGCAAAAACUAAAGGUUAUAAUAUUUGAAGUCUCAAAGAUAUUGUUGGAUUAUUCUGAGGAGCGAUUUGAUUCAUAUUAUCAUUUUGAGGAUUUUGAUUUUAGGAAUGUAGAUUCAAUCAAGAAAAAAUUUUGGAAUUGAUGUUUGUUGUUUAAUAUUGAGAAAUAUUGUUAUUUAAGGUAUCUGAUUUGAAGUGUCUUAUGGGAGUUUAUAUACUGUGAUGUUUGAAUUUUAUAAUUAUUAAUUAUUGGUUAGUAUUAAGAAUGUACCGAGUUUCUUUCGCAGGUUUGAAGAGUAAAUAUAAUUUAAAUCUGGAGUGCAACUCGUAGACUUGAGGUUUUGUUAAGUACAAGCAUGUUAUUUCAUUUAUAUUUUGUAAGGAUGACAUAAGAUUAUGAUUUUGGGAUAUAAUAACUCAAGGUUUUUCAAUUAAUGCACUAGUUGAAAGUAUUGUGAGUACCUUAUACACGAUCUUAGUGGACAUAUUUGAAGUUAUGCAAUAUCGAAGUUGUAACUUAUUAAGUUUUGUGUGUAGUUUUGAUGUUCGAAAUUUUUGUUGGACAUAAUACUUAUAAGGAUUUAGGUUUUGAGUUUUGGAUGAAGAAUGGAAUUAAUGUUCAAUUGUGGUUAUGGUCAUAAGCAAACGCUAAGGGCUAUACGUGAUCUUAGUGGAUAUAUUUAAAGAUAGUCAAUAUCAGAGCUGUAAUUAUUGAAGUUUUGGGCAUAGUAUUAAUGUUAGAAGUUUAUGUUUGAGAAAAUAUCGAAAAGGAUCAAGUUUAGAGAUUUGGAUGAAGAAUGUAAUAAAUGUUUAAUUGUGGUGAUAUUAAUGUUAUGAGAUAAUAUUUUUGAAGAUUGAAGUCUAGAGAUGUUGAUGAAGAAUGAUAUUAAUGUUUAAUUGAGGUUUAUUGUUAUGAGAAAAAACUAAAGGUCAUACUAUUUGAAGUCUUAAAGAUAUUGUUGGAUUAUUCUGAGGAGUAAUUUGAUUUAUAUUAUCAUUCUGAGGAUUUUGAUUUUAGGAAUGUAGAUUUAAUCAAGAAUAAAUUUGGGAAUUGAUGUUUGUUGGUUAAUAUUGAAAAUUAUUGUUGAAGUUUUCUGAUUUGAAGUGUCUUAUGGGAGUUUAUAUACGGUGAUGUUUGAAUUUUAUAAUUAUUAACCGGUGUUAUCGGUUAGUAUUAAGAAUGUACGGAGUUUCUUUCGCAGGCUUGAAGAGUAAAUGUAAUUUAAACGUGGAAUGCAACUCGUAGACUUGAGGUUUUGUUAAGUACAAGUAUGUUAUUUCGGGAUUGAAAUAAAA